CAGCCGCCGCGGUAAUACGUAGGGGGCUAGCGUUGUUCGGAAUUACUGGGCGUAAAGCGCACGUAGGCGGAUUUUUAAGUCAGGGGUGAAAUCCCGAGGCUCAACCUCGGAACUGCCUUUGAUACUGGAGAUCUUGAGUUCGGAAGAGGUUGGUGGAACAGCUAGUGUAGAGGUGAAAUUCGUAGAUAUUCGGCGGAACACCAGUGGUGAAGGCGACUCACUAGCCCGAUACUGACGCUGAGGCGCGAAAGCGUGGGGAGCAAACAGGAUUAGAUACCCCCGUAGUCCCUGUCUCUUAUAC
rnacentral:rRNA from 1 species